rnacentral:snoRNA from 7 species
AGUAAUGAUGAUUUCUGGUGAUUCUGAGUGUCUCGCUGACGCCAUCACCGCAGCGCGCUGACC